rnacentral:rRNA from 1 species
CCCUUAGAUGUCCUGGGCCGCACGCGUGCUACACUGAUGCAUACAGCGAGUACUUUCCAGCUCCGCGAGGCAGCUGGUAAUCAGCAAUAUGCAUCGUGCUGGGGAUAGAUCUUUGGAAUUAUAGAUCUUGAACGAGGAAUUCCUAGUAAGCGCAAGUCAUUAGCUUGCGCUGAUUACGUCCCUGCCCUUUGUACACACCGCCCGUCGCUCCUACCGAUUGAAUGAUCCGAUGAAUACCAUGGAUUGAGAGUUCGAAUAGGUUCGCCUAUUUCAGCUUCUCGAGAAGUGGAGUAAAUCUUAUCAUUUAGAGGAAGGAGAAGUCGUAACA